UACGAAGGGGGCUAGCGUUGCUCGGAAUCACUGGGCGUAAAGCGUACGUAGGCGGAUCUUUAAGUCAGGGGUGAAAUCCCAAGGCUCAACCUUGGAACUGCCUUUGAUACUGGGGAUCUCGAGUCCGGAAGAGGUGAGUGGAACUGCGAGUGUAGAGGUGAAAUUCGUAGAUAUUCGGAGGAACACCAGUGGCGAAGGCGGCUCACUGGUCCAUUACUGACGCUGAGGUGCGAAAGCGUGGGGAGCAAGCAGG
rnacentral:rRNA from 1 species